AUUGAACGCUGGCGGCAUGCCUUACACAUGCAAGUCGAACGGCAGCACGGGAGCUUGCUCCUGGUGGCGAGUGGCGAACGGGUGAGUAAUACAUCGGAACGUACCCUGAAGUGGGGGAUAACGUAGCGAAAGUUACGCUAAUACCGCAUAUUCUGUGAGCAGGAAAGAGGGGGAUCGCAAGACCUCUUGCUUUAGGAGCGGCCGAUGUCGGAUUAGCUAGUUGGUGAGGUAAGGCUCACCAAGGCGACGAUCCGUAGCGGGUCUGAGAGGAUGAUCCGCCACACUGGGACUGAGACACGGCCCAGACUCCUACGGGAGGCAGCAGUGGGGAAUUUUGGACAAUGGGCGCAAGCCUGAUCCAGCCAUGCCGCGUGAGUGAAGAAGGCC
rnacentral:rRNA from 1 species